UAAUUAAAUUAAAUACAAACCUCCUUGGACUUGUGCAGUAAAUAAGCUAAAGCAACAACUGAGAUGAUUUUAUUGAAGAGAGGCAAGGAUAAGCAACUACUACCCCAGAAAUUUGAAUUUCAUUCUUCAUCAGUGGUUUUUUUGGUUCCAGCUUUUCUAAGUUGCUUCAAAGUUCCAUUUUUCAAAUUGCUGGAGGAGACCAAUUAAAAAUAGGCAGAGAUGGUUGAUUUGCAAAUUUCACUUGAAAAGCUUUGCCAACUAGACAGCUUACUAUUAACUUAAAAUACAGAGUUUGCAGAAGAUAUGGAUUGGAUAAUUUGGAUUUGGUCUCAAACCAAUUGAUUGCAUGCACACUACAGAAUGUUUUGAAUAUGAAUCUCUCUAGCAAGGCCAAUUAGUUGCUUUGGAGACAUUGAGUUAAGCCCUUCUGCCAGAGUUUUGAAUUGUGGGCAGGUAAGUGCAGAUCUCUUUUCCAUAUGCACAGCUGCAAUUUGCAAAACUUUGGUAAAUAUUUCUUGAAUACCAAUGAUCAUGGCUAUAUUUUUGGUUAACUUUCUUCUUUUUAUUGUGAAUGUGGUCGAAGUUUGAGGUACAGAAUCCAGUGUUCCAUUUCUUGGAUAAUGUUCUUUCAACUCCAACCACAAGGGGAACCAUUCUUCCAGGAAACACGAAAAAGCGUUAUUGACAUUCUGUGGGUAUAUAUCGAAUGCAUAUGUUAACUAUACAAUCAUGGAUUUAAAAUACUUAUUAUUUGUGCUCCAUUUUGUGAAUUCAAAUCAUCUAGAUGUGAGGGAUGAAGAGCUGACAAGUUGUUAGCAGCUAGGGGAUAGAGAAAAAGAUAAAAGGAAAGGCAUUGAGAAAAAAACAUAUAUGAUGCCAAUUACAUAAGCUUAUAGUUUCUAUAACCAUGUCUUCAAAUCAUGCAUGCAUUAAGCUAAGAAGGAUUGUUCAGAUUUUUGACACAUUCCUCAGUUAGCUUGGGGUAAAUGUCUUUGGUGCAAAAGCACUUUGCCCAUUAUUCAUGUUUGCCAAUUUUAUUGACCGUAUGGUUCAUUUUUUUCUUUUUUUGUUUUAUUUUAUUUUUCAUAUUGAACUUGGCAUGCCUUCCUAUUGUUGAAAGACUUUAGGGCCAUUUAUGGGACCUCUUUUUCACAAAAGAAGUAUGUUCUAUGCCUAUUGGAUGAGACUAGAUUGUCGAGAUUCAAACGAGUUGAUACACCCUGGAUCCUUACUGCAAGUUAUUGACACAUGGGUGAUUUGUGUCGACCCUUGAUGAUAUAAAAGACUUGUUUAUAGUUAAAUAUUUCAUAGUCAAUUACUUACGUCAAAAGUGGAAUUUACCAUUUGCAUGACAAAAAAUAUUUAACUAAUUUAUAAAUUUCACGCAUGUUAAUUAAAUAUGUUUAAUAUGAUUGUUGUAUUAUGGAUAGAUUGCACCUUAAACACCGCAUGACAUUUAUGUAUUCUAUUUACGACACUUUAAUUCUAAAUCUUGCAUUAUUAUGUCUAAGCCUAGAUUCUUUAAUUUUGAUAAAAAAUUCUAUGCUAUACAUAUAAUUUUCAUUAUAUUUAAAAAUUGAAAUUGAAAAUUGCCAUUAGCACUGAAACCUCAAAAUUAUUAGUCAAAAUUAUGUGUUGAAAAUUCAAAUGUUGUUAGCGUCGUGUUACUCAAAUUUUGUUGUAGUUUUGAAUCAACUCUCUUCUUUGCUUCUUGUCUUUGCCUAGCCUUGCUGUGGGGUUGGUAGCCAUGCUGGAGGUGGGGAUAUAAGGGUUUGUUAGUUGGUAGAGGAUGUAAAGGCCUAAACUAAGGCAGUGUGCUAGUCCUAAAUAGGGUGGCAAAAUGACUCGAAACUCGAUGGGUGAUUUGUGACCCAUCCAAUUAAAACAAGUUCAGGUUUUAUAUAAGUCAAUUUGUUUAUAAACGGGUUUGACAGAGUUCGGGUCGCUUAUUUGCUUGCUAAGUGCUAUAUAAACACAUUAUCCUUGGUCCCUUACACAUAAAACCCUAAUUGCUCCACUGUCGGCUGCGGCGCUGCCUAUCCACUCUCCACAUUUCCACUCCUGCUGCCCUGCACUCCAAUGUUGUGUGUCCCUGCCCGUUUGCCGAGCAAGGCCAGCACGCAGCACGCCAAGUUGCCAUUGCCAACACCAUCGUCCAACGCCCUUGCCUAGUUAACUGUCUGCCUAGCUGAAGCUAGCCAUCUCCCUUAUGACGCUCGAACGGUGGUCAUUCAAGAGACGUAGAGGUAAGAGUCGUAGAGGUGGAUAUCUGUAGUUUUGAUGGAUCAAGCUCCACCACGACGCUCAGACGGUGGUUGUUUUCACGAUCUGUUGUAUCUCUCAUGGAUCAAGCUCCCUCACGACGCUUAUACGGUGGUUGCCUGGUCAAUGGAUAUUUGUAGUUUUGUUUGGCACUCAUUUCGUACGCAGCCCUGUCAUCCUCAUCUGCAAGCAACAAUGCAAAUGCUUGGCUUUUGAGUGAGUUUGAGCCCUCUGGUGAGUUUGGCAAGCACUUUGAUUACUCUAGAUCAAUGAUACAAGCUCCUCAAUGUGUCUUAGAGGAAGAAAUUACUGCUUAUCUUUCUAAAAUACAAAGGGGUGGUUUUGUACAACCCUUUGGUCAUUUGAUUGCUUUUGAAGAGCCCAACUUUAGAAUCAUUGGUGAUAGCAAAAAUUCGACUGAUGGGUUUGCUUGGAAUUGAAGUUAGAACCCUUUUUAUCCCAAUUCGACCAAACAAAUCUUUUGCCUAGUCGGUGGAUAUCUGUAGUAGUAUUGUUACGUUUUUGAAGCUAGAACCCUUUUUAUCCCAAUUUGGCUGAACACAUCUUUUGCCUAGUCGGUGGAUAUUUGUAGUAGUUUUGUUACGUUUUUAUGUUGUUUUUAUUUAGAUAAUAAUAAAUAAAUGGAGUGUUUUUUUUCAAA